AUCGCCCCCGCCCCGAGCACGGCCCACCCGCCUGCGCCCGCCGCUGCCGUCACGCCUGCCCCCCGCCUCCCACCAGGUGCAGCGGCACUGCCCGUCGYGCCAGCCAGAAACCCUCUGCAGGGCUGUAGCACCCCGGACCCCGCCGCGGGCAUCCUGCUGGCGGAGAAGAGCUCCCACCCCCUUUCCAGCGCGUCCCCCAGCGGCACCGACGUGAAGGCGGUGGAGGGCACGGAAAACGCGUGGCACCAAGCCUGCAGCCUCCCUGGCACCAAGACGGGCCGUCGGGCCGUGCUGCCCACCACCGACCAUGCGCGCCGCAUGCACAUCAGCUCCAGCUUCAACACUCUCGCCAGCCUCGUGGCGCCCGCCUCUGCCCGGCCCACCGUCAAGGUAGGCGCCCGCCGCCUCCCGGCUGCUGCCUGCCCCUCUGUGGCCAGCCCCGGUCCCCAUCCCUGUCCCCUUCCUCGGGCCAUCCCCUGUCUUCCUCUCUGUGCCAAUCCCUGUCCCCAUCCCUGUGCCAGUGCCUGUUCCCCUCUCUGUCCGUAUGCCGUCCCUGUGCCCAUGCCCGUCCCUGUUCCUGUGACCAUACCUGUGCCAGUGCCUGUCCC
rnacentral:lncRNA from 1 species